rnacentral:rRNA from 1 species
AACGAACGCUGGCGGCAUGCCUAACACAUGCAAGUCGAACGAAGUCUUCGGACUUAGUGGCGCACGGGUGCGUAACGCGUGGGAAUCUGCCCUUGGGUACGGAAUAACUCAGAGAAAUUUGUGCUAAUACCGUAUAAUGUCUUCGGACCAAAGAUUUAUCGCCCAAGGAUGAGCCCGCGUAAGAUUAGCUAGUUGGUAGGGUAAAAGCCUACCAAGGCGACGAUCUUUAGCUGGUCUGAGAGGAUGAUCAGCUACACUGGGACUGAGACACGGCCCAGACUCCUACGGGAGGGAGGAGUGGGGAAUAUUGGAGGAUGGGCGCAAGCGUGAUCAAGCAAUGCCGGGUGAGUGAUGAAGGCGAUAGGGUUGUAAAGCUCUUUUACAAGGGAUGAUAAUGACAGUACCUGGAGAAUAAGCUCCGGCUAACUACGUG